UACGUAGGGUCCGAGCGUUGUCCGGAAUUACUGGGCGUAAAGCGCGCGCAGGCGGUUGCCUAAGUCUGCUGUGAAAUCUCCCGGCUCAACUGGGAGGGGGCGGCGGAGACUGGGUGACUGGAGGGACCUAGAGGCCGGUGGAAUUCCUGGUGUAGCGGUGAAAUGCGCAGAUAUCAGGAGGAACACCGGUGGCGAAGGCGGGUCUCUGGGCCGAUAUUGACGCUGAGGAGCGAAAGCAUGGGGAGCGAACAGG
rnacentral:rRNA from 1 species